AACUCACCAGGUCAGGACACGGUAAGGAUUGACGGACUGAAGGCUCUUUCUCGAUUCCGUGGAAAGUGGUGCAUGGCCGUUUUGGUUGGUGGAUCGAUCCGUCUGGUUAAUUCCGUUAACGAACGAGACCUCGGCACUCCGAAUAGCGCGGCGGACGUCGCGGCCUCCGGGCCGUCUUCCGCACGAGCUUCUUAGAGGGACCGUCCCCCGCCGGGGAAGGAGGUGCGAGGCAACGACAGGUCUGUGAUGCCCUUAGAUGUUCUGGGCCGCACGCGCAUUACACUGACGCGUCCAACGGGUGACUCCCGACCCGAAGGGGCCGGGGAAUCCGCAAGGCGCGUCGUGAUGGGGAUUGAACGUUGCAAUUGUUGUUCACGAACGAGGAAUUCCUAGUAGGCGCGGGUCAUCAACCCGCGCCGAUUACGUCCCUG
rnacentral:rRNA from 1 species